GCUCCAUUAGUGUAAUAGGACAGCACACAAUCCUUCUAAGUUUGGAGAACGGGUUCGAAUCCUGUAUGGAGUA
rnacentral:tRNA from 1 species